UACGUAGGAUCCAAGCGUUAUCCGGAAUUACUGGGCGUAAAGCGUCUGUAGGUGGCGCGUCAGGUGAGAUGCGAAAUCUUACGGCUCAACCGUAUAGACUGUAUCUCAAACCAACGUGCUAGAGGUCGGUAGAGGCAAGUGGAAUUCUCAGUGUAGCAGUGACAUGCGUAGAUAUUGAGAGGAACACCAAUGGCGAAGGCAGCUUGCUGGGCCGCACCUGACACUCAGAGACGAAAGCGUGGGGAGCGAACGGG
rnacentral:rRNA from 1 species